AGUAACGCGUAAGAACUUGCCCUUUAGACUGGGAGUAACAGAGGGAAACUUCUGAUAAUACUGGAUAAGUUAGUAUAUCGCAUGAUAUGCAAAUGAAAGCUACGGCACUAAAGGAGAGCUUUGCGUCCUAUUAGCUAGUUGGUAAGGUAAGAGCUUACCAAGGCGAUGAUAGGUAGCCGGCCUGAGAGGGUGGACGGCCACAAGGGGACUGAGAUACGGCCCUUACUCCUACGGGAGGCAGCAGAC
rnacentral:rRNA from 1 species